rnacentral:rRNA from 1 species
ACUCAAAGGAAUUGACGGGGGCCCGCACAAGCGGUGGAUCAUGUGGUUCAAUUCGACGCUACGCGAAGAACCUUACCUGGGCUCGAACGACUAGUGGUACCCUUUAUGAAAGUAGAGGGGACCCGCAAGGGAGCUAGCCGAGGUGCUGCAUGGUUGUCGUCAGCUCGUGUCGUGAGAUGUUGGGUUAAGUCCCGCAACGAGCGCAACCCCUGUCCUGUGUUGCUACUCCGCAAGGAGAGGACUCUCAGGAGACUGCCGUGGAUAACACGGAGGAAGGUGGGGAUGACGUCAAAUCAUCAUGGCCUUUAUGUCCAGGGCUACACACGUGAUACAAUGGUACAGACAGAGGGCUGCAAGACCGUAAGGUGGAGCCAAUCCCUAAACUGUAUCCCAGUUCAGAUCGAGGGCUGCAAUUCGCCCUCGUGAAGUUGGAAUCGCUAGUAAUCGCAGAUCAGCAGGCUGCGGUGAAUACGUUCCCGGGCCUUGUACACACCGCCCGU